CUACCCUUGACAUGCCACUAACGAAGCAGAGAUGCAUUAGGUGCUCGAAAGAGAAAGUGGACACAGGUGCUGCAUGGCUGUCGUCAGCUCGUGUCGUGAGAUGUUGGGUUAAGUCCCGCAACGAGCGCAACCCUUGUCUCUAGUUGCUACGAAAGGGCACUCUAGAGAGACUGCCGGUGACAAACCGGAGGAAGGUGGGGAUGACGUCAAGUCCUCAUGGCCCUUAUGGGUAGGGCUUCACACGUCAUACAAUGGUGCAUACAGAGGGUUGCCAAGCCGCGAGGUGGAGCUAAUCCCAGAAAAUGCAUCGUAGUCCGGAUCGUAGUCUGCAACUCGACUACGUGAAGCUGGAAUCGCUAGUAAUCGCGGAUCAGCAUGCCGCGGUGAAUACGUUCCC
rnacentral:rRNA from 1 species